AAGCGCCCGUGACCAGACUUGCGCCUGUUCGAUCAUCCGUCACUCGGCGGUGCACUCGUUCAGGUUCAGGCCAGCAUCGGUUUCCAGGGGGGGAUAAAGUCUGCUGGAACGUGGCUCUUCGGAGUGUUAUAGCCCUCGGUGCAAUGCCGCCUACCUGGACCGAGGACCGCGCUUCGGCUAGGAUGCUGGCGUAAUGGUUGUAAGCGA
rnacentral:rRNA from 1 species